GAAUAUUUACAUUGAGCGUUUUGUCAAGGGAAGAUGAGAGGUGCUUUUCAAAAUUGAUUAUAGAUAAGGCUAAUUAGAUAAACCGUUGUGCGUAUUAUCCAGUCAAAGUUACCAGCAGCGCGCUCGCCUAUCCGCAGGCCCUUGCCUUCACCUUGGGCUGCGAUGCGUACCGUACGUCAAGUUGCGGCCGAUCGCAAGACCCCUCGAACUUUGCUGCUUUUUUCAGCUUCAAGCAACAAUAAUUGUUGGAUUACUCGUCAAAAACCAUUGCCUGCGUGGUAUCAGUGUUGGUGAAUCAUGCGCGUGAGGCGUGAGGCUCAUAGAUCGGCUCACUUGAUGCAGCCCAAGAUGCUGCCGUACGGCCACGGCGUCGUUACACAGCUGAGCCCGAUGCCGAACUCCUAAGAUGGACAUCGUGUCGCCACUUGCCAGCCAAAGAUUCCCGCUCAAGUUGGAUGUUUCGUUUGGAGCUACAUGCACAUCGCAGAGCACCUGAACUGAUCAGUGAGCUGGUUUGACCAUCCAGCCACCAUGUGACCCCGACGAGGCGUGUCCGGGGAUGAACGGAUCAAAUGCCGGUCGUAUCCCGGACAUCAAAAGCCGUCCGUACCCGCUCUCCGGCGCCUCUACCACCUCGCUCCAGACGUGAGUACCAUUUGGCUCUGUACGGGCCGGCGCCGUGAUAUACCGGCGCCGUGAACCGGUGUCCGUCCCGCCCAGAUGAGUUGUGGGCGGUACCGCGCCGCCGCCCGUAGCACCGGCACACCUCCGAGCCGUGAGAUCGGCCGGCGAUCACCAGAUAGCGGUGUAAUAACCCCACACCAGCGGCUGAGCGAGGGCCUGCGAGGCACCCUGCAGUUAGGUGACGCAGGUGUUUGCAGAUGGAUUUGUCAUUCGGCAGGCAUGGCGUAAAUAAGAGCAUGCGGAUUUAUCGUCGAGUAAUAUGAAGACGUCAUCACAAGCUUCAUGAUUAUGCAAGUCUGACAUCGAAAAAGCGACUUUCUUAUCCCGGAUCUAUCUCCUCCAUGGAAUAUGGGACAUUCUUCUGAGAACGAGGACACAAAGCAAGACGUGGCACCUCCUCGCAGACGGCCCGCUUAGGGGGAUUCAGUUUACGGUCCGACACCCGUCUGGUAUGUACGUACGCCGGCGUGUGUGACCUGGUCCAAUUUGUCGGCGCUACGUUCGCUGGGAGACGUUCUAAAGGCGGCAGAAACGCCGGAGAAAUGCGCGACUCUGCCGGCACUCGGCAGAAAUGGAGCGUGUCAGUGCCAUUGAGCGUUUGACAAAUCCCCGCGCUGUACGGCGGUAGGGAGUGUGACAGGCCCGGGUCGCUGGGUCUCUAAGAUGCUAGCCAAGCGUUAUCUUUUGACCUGCCGAUAGUGGGAUUGCCAUUAUCACACCCUGACCUACCCCUGAGUUUCAGUGGAAAGGUGUAACUUUCCCUGAAAACUAAUUAUCCGCACCCCACUAGUGCCGGCGGCACCGGCAACGUUGUCGGCAGUUACUGGCGCUUGCAGCUACCUGAACCGUGGCAAUCAACGAUAGGAACGAAAUGCUGCCAAAAUGUCGAUAAAUACCACAUGGAAUACAGCUUGGGAUCAAUAAUUGAAAUUGAGGGCGUUGACAAAUUAAAUAUAGAGAUACACGAUCUAAGAUUUAUGAUAAGCCGUUUUCGCAAAUUAAUCACCGCCUAUCAGAAUAUUCCAAAACACAUCCGCCAUUCGCGUACCAUUUCUCAUCAGCCGGCCGUCGUAUUUCAUCAGCUAACCAGCCGCUGUCAGCGGGCCGUCAGCGCUCCGCUGAUCAACGAGUGUCCUCGCGGCGGUCAGCGCUGAGCGUCAGCGCCGCCCCGCUGACCUGAAUCGGCCGUCAGCUGACGGAGCCGCGCCGCACGCCGUCCCGCGCGCGCCACUUUUGCACGCCGUCAUGCGUGACGCCGGGAGA